GAUGAACGCUGGCGGCGUGCCUAAUACAUGCAAGUCGAACGCUUCACUUCGGUGAAGAGUGGCGAACGGGUGAGUAAUACAUAAGUAACCUGGCAUCUACAGGGGGAUAACUGAUGGAAACGUCAGCUAAGACCGCAUAGGUGUAGAGAUCGCAUGAACUCUAUAUGAAAAGUGCUACGGGCAUGGUAGAUGAUGGACUUAUGGCGCAUUAGCUUGUUGGUAGGGUAACGGCCUACCAAGGCGACGAUGCGUAGCCGACCUGAGAGGGUGACCGGCCACACGGGGACUGAAACACGGCCCAGACUCCAACGGGAGGCAGCGGUAGGGAAUUUUCGGCAAAGGGGGAAACCCUGACCGAGCAACGCGGCGUGAAGGAAGAAGUAAUUCGUUAUGUAAACUUCUGUCAUAGAGGAAGAACGGUGGAUAUAGGGAAUGCUAUCCAAGUGACGGUAAUCUAUAAGAAAGCCACGGCUAACUACGUG
rnacentral:rRNA from 1 species